GACGAACGCUGGCGGCGUGCUUAACACAUGCAAGUCGAACGGAAAGGCCUGCUUUCCCUUGUGGAUUGCGGGUACUCGAGUGGCGAACGGGUGAGUAACACGUGAGUGAUCUGCCCCCAACUUGGGUAUAAGCCUGGGAAACUGGGUCUAAUUCCCGAUAGGACUGCAGGGUGGUGCCUGUGGUGGAAAACGAUUUUCUAGUGGUUGGGGAUGAGCUCGCGGCCUAUCAGCUUGUUGGUGGGGUAAUGGCCUACCAAGGCGGCGACGGGUAGCCGGCCUGAGAGGGUGGACGGCCACAUUGGGACUGAGAUACGGCCCAGACUCCUACGGGAGGCAGCAGUGGGGAAUAUUGCACAAUGGGCGGAGGCCUGAUGCAGCGACGCCGCGUGGGGGAUGACGGCCUUCGGGUUGUAAACUCCUUUCGACCGCGAGGAAGCCACCUGGUUGGAAGGGUGGUGACGGUAGUGGUAGAAGAAGCACCGGCUAACUACGUG
rnacentral:rRNA from 1 species